ACCAAACAUAGCUUUAGUAUAUCUGAUCUUGUAAAAUUCAAUUUUCAAGGGCGGGCCCACGAGGACGCUCCACCCAGAGCUAACACGAACGCCAUCGUGUCCGGUUCUUUCAGACCGGUUUCACCCAAUCGUCACCUACGCUGGCGCGUCGCUCAUUUUCCCCGGCGGAGAACCGGUUCCGCCACCGUAUCGGCGGUUUUGGAGGCCAACGAAGACACCUCCGUGAAGGAUCUGAAUGCUUCUCUGGUGAGAAUAGUCGCUCUCGUCGGAGAAGGUAGCGUCAGCCCUCCGAAAUCCACACCAUGGCUCGAGGUUAUGCUCCACACUGUAAGUAUCGCCGUAGCUCCAACUUUCUCUCUCUUCUCUCUCUCUACAUAUACAAACACGUGUCUAUUGAUGGAGUAUGUGAAUUUUUGAUAUUUGGCCUUGGAAGUGGAUUUCGUUUCGAGGAAACUUGAUGUUGGCCGAUGAAACUUCAUGCAAUGUGGAGAUAUGAGUAAAAUGAUGUCUUAUGCUAAAAUUACUCAGGAAUUGGGGGUAUUGUUAGGAUUAUAGUGAAGUGGAAUCUCUUUUAUUUCGUUUUUAUGGAUAAUAUCACUCGUGUGGAUAAUGGCAUACGUGAAUGUUUUCUUUUAAAUUGACUAUACUGUGUAGUUUCAAUUUUUAAAAUCGUUGUUGCGUUGAUGAAAUUAAAUAAAAAGAUGAACUAUUAGGUGUUGUUUAAGUCGAUUAACCCAUGCUACC
rnacentral:lncRNA from 1 species